CCGAAGUUAAGCAUCGUAGAGCCAGGUCAGUACUUAGAUGGGGGACCGCUUGGGAACACCUGGUACUGUAAGC
rnacentral:rRNA from 1 species